AUUUUUACUGAGUACUGACUAAGCGCCUGGGAACAAUUGAUGAUGAUACCUAGAAACAGAAAUUGAAAUGUUGGAAGCAACAAGGACCUGAGGAUUCAUCAAUCAUCUGACUGCAUGGAUGAGGGUCCAGAAAUCUAAAUGCCUGCUGUCACUGGGCCGGUCAGCAGAGAAGAAGACUCGAGUUCAGGGUUCUUAAAUCCUGAUCCAAUCUUCCUUCCACAGGGAAAUUCUAAUGGCAUUUUCUCUCAGCCUCCUUCAACUCUCCAACCAAGCUCUCAUUUCUAAGGUCUCAGACUAUGGAGGAUUCACCACCAGACUAGGAAGCAACAGCCGGGGCUCCAGAGUCAGACACUACACUCACCAGACUAUGGAGGUUUCGCCACCAGACUGGGAAGCAACAGCCUGGGCUCCAGAGUCAGACGCUACACCCACCAGACUAUGGAGGAUUCGCCACCAGACUGGGAAGCAACAGCCUGGGCUCCAGAGUCAGACACUACACUCACUAGACUAUGGACGAUUCACCACCAGACUGGGAAGCAACAGCCUGGGCUCCAGAAUGCACAGAUGAGGAGAGGUCUCAUGAAGCUUCGGUGGAGUCUGGGACCCUAGCUCUUUUUGUAACAAGUUGUUUGACAUGAGGCCCAGUCACGAGGGCCCUUUGUGACUGGGCUCCAGGAACACAAAAAGGUCAACUUGUUUUUGCAACUGUCUAUUGUUUUUCAUUAACUAAUGUAUAGGAAUAGAUUGAAAUACAGAUUUCUCCGAAACAGUGCAGGAUGAAUGCCUCAAGGGGCUCACACAACCUGUUCUGGGACUUGGUGACCAUUGUUUGUGUCCAUGUUCAAUUGAGUUCAAAUUGAAUAUUUAAUUUUUCCUCCACAGUGAUCUCUGGUAAAAAGAUCUGAUGCUUUAGAAUGUUAGGGCUCCAUGGAGCCUUGCAGAUCAUCCAGUUCCUAGACUAGACUCUAGUCCAAACACCUCACUUUACAGAGAGGAAAAUGGAUCCAGGGAGAAAAGCUGACUGCAUUCUUACCAUUAGCCAGAGACAGAAUAGGACUGGAACUCAGGUCUCCUGAUAGAGCUCAAUGCUCUCUUUGCUGCCUUCUUUUAGAUUAAUUUUUAUGAUUCAAUUUUUAUCUCCUUUGUUGGCUUGGUAGCUACAACUGUUUGUUUUGUUAUUUUGCAGGUUCUUUAAGGUUUAUAGUAUACAUCUUUAUCUUAUUACAGUCUUUGUUCAACUGAUAGUAUAUUGCCACUUCACACAUAGUAUAACAACAUUAUGUUUCUUCCUUUCCAGCUUUCAUGUUGUUAUCAUACAUUUUACUUGUGCGUAUGCAAUAAAUCCCAAAAUACAUGGUUACUAUUUGUUUUUAAAUAGUUAAUUAUAUUUAAAAGAGAUUAAAUAAUAAGAGGAGGAAUACCUUACAUAUAUACCCAUGUAAUUACCAUUUCCUUUGAUCUUCAUUCCUUUGUGUGAAUCUAUGUUUUCAUCAGGUAUCCUUUUCCUUUGGUGGUAAAUUUUUUCAGCUUUCGCAGGUCUGAAAAAGUCUUUAUUUCACUUUCUUUUUUUAUAUGUAAAAAU
rnacentral:lncRNA from 10 species